GUAGUUCAUUGAAAGGCAUCCGAUAAAAUUGGAAUUAUAAGAUGAUCAUCAGCAUGUCCUUGCCCAAGGAUGACACACAAAAUUGAGAAAUGGUAAAAAAAAAA